rnacentral:lncRNA from 1 species
UUUUUUUUAUUACAUGAGACUAUUGCUCAGAUUACAACUCAUAUUACAUGAGAAUAUAACUGAUAUGUACAAAUCAGACUAUAACUGGGACCAACAUACAUCAAAUCUAAUGGAGCGCUGCCCAGAUUUUUAACCCUCUCAAAUAUUCGAGGGAUGUCUACUCCUCGCACUGGGGCAAGGAAGCAGACUGCCUUCAUUCAAUUUUAUUUGAGGAAGGAAACACCCCCACAUACAUUGUGGGGGUUCGAACUGCUGCUCUCCAAGUUGGAGAGCAGCAGCUCUAACCACUCGGCCAAAGGCCGAGUGGC